UACAGAGGGUGCGAGCGUUAAUCGGAAUUACUGGGCGUAAAGCGUGCGCAGGCGGUUUUGUAAGCCAGAUGUGAAAUCCCCGGGCUUAACCUGGGAAUGGCAUUUGGGACUGCAAGGCUUGAGUGCGGCAGAGGAGACUGGAAUUCCUGGUGUAGCAGUGAAAUGCGUAGAUAUCAGGAGGAACACCGAUGGCGAAGGCAGCUAACUAGGCUGUAACUGACGCUGAGGCACGAAAGUGUGGGGAUCAAACAGG
rnacentral:rRNA from 1 species